UACGAAGGGGGCUAGCGUUGCUCGGAAUCACUGGGCGUAAAGGGCGCGUAGGCGGCACUGUUAGUCAGGCGUGAAAUCCCUCAGCUUAACUGGGGAACUGCGUCUGAUACUGGUUGGCUUGAGUGCAGGAGAGGAAUGCGGAAUUCCAGGUGUAGCGGUGAAAUGCGUAGAUAUCUGGAGGAACACCGGUGGCGAAGGCGGCAUUCUGGACUGCAACUGACACUGAAAGACGAAAGCCAGGGGAGCAAACGGG
rnacentral:rRNA from 1 species